GCCCAGUCUCCACGUAAAUCAAAACGAGAAAAAAAAAGGCGAGGACGUUUGUAAAGCGGGAGGCGCCGCAACUCCGCAGUUUUGGGCCUAGUGGUUAGUGCGUGGGACUGCCAUACCCGAGGUCACGGAUUCGCAUCCAGAAAAAAACUGCCCUCGUUCCUCUUCCACCGGCUGUUGAGUCUCUACCUCAAACAGAGGAGACCGUCUUCUGUCCAGCACGCCAUUUUGUCCUUCUCCAGGGCCUGCGACACACCUCUUCCUGCAAAGGUACGCAUAGCACACACUUAUACACCAUAUUUAUUCACACACUGCUUAUGUUUAUGUAGCCAUUGUGAAUGACAAAUAAAAGCAGACAAACAGAAAAACGUUCUUUCAGUGACCUGUACUGGCCUGCCAUGAGAAACCCCCUGGGCGCACGCACGCACGCACACACACACACACACACACACGAUCAGACAGACAAAAAGUCCCUCAGGGCGAUCAUUUGUCAUGUGGGGAGGAAUCUAGAGUCAUGCUCUUUAUGCUCGCAGGCCACGGACUUAAGGCAUUCCUCUGGAAAUUUAUGUCCAAACAGCUGCGGUCUCAUCUGCCUCUGUUACCGAAACCUAGAAGACAACGGUCGUCCCAGGAAUUAUGGGGGGGAUCCAAUCCAUUACACACCUCCAGUCGAACUCCGGAGUGUGCGUGCGAUGCACGUGUGAGACGUUUUUUCUGUGUCUCUUUGUACGUCCAGUGUAACCGUGAGCUGCUUGCCACAGUGUGCUCGCAGCUGCCUAACUCAAACUCUGUGUUUGUGUAUGUGUGCGUGUGUUUGAGUGUGUGUAAAAGAUUCAGAGAUUGGUUUUGCCUGCAGCUCUUUGAUGGCGGAACGGCUAUCCUGCGGCUUUUUGCGUCGGAAGCCCACGGUUGAAAUGGGGAAAAGCCCCAUGUGUGAUUUCACAUUGCGCCCAUAUGGACUGUUGUGUUUUCCCCCUCUUGAACAACGACGUCCACAUCAGAGAGCACAUGUGUGGCUGAGGGCAUAGGAAGGCGAACAUUACAGAGCGUGGGGGGAGAAGAGAAGAAGAAGAAGGAGGGGAAAAAAAGUGGAAAAAUCCAUAUUUUUCCAAUAUGCAGACGGGGCUGUUCAUCAGGCAACGUUUGACACACGUCUUUGAACAGAGUUAGAAACAACAACUUGGUGGAAAGAGUAAAAAAAAAAAAAGUUGGAGUGGGGUGGUUUGGCUAAACAAAUGUCAUUUUUGGACUCUUGCUGUAGGGAGGAUGGGGGGAAAAAGUAAAGAUGAUGAAAAGAAUGAAAAGAUACAUUCCUGAGCGUGUAACUCACUUCGCCUCGCCGUUUCCUGGCCUUGAUUAGAGGGAUGUGGGGACUUGUGGGUACAUGAAGAUUAAGAUCUUGGGGCCGACCAAAAGGGAAUUACAAAAAGGAAGCGAAUAUGGAUGUCUUUAUUUAAUGACAUUUUUUUUCUCUUUCUAUAAAAGGAAGUCUCAUUACGGGCCUGUGCAGCCACACUGCUACAAUGGUGUUUUUGAUGGUUACAGAGGCCAUUUUGUAAUCAAGAGGUCACAAGAUUUGACCCCCGCAAGAGCCGGUCUAAAUUACUACUCUGAAUUAAAUAAUGAGAUGCUUGAUUGGUUCUUUAGAGGUAGAAUACACAGUUUUAACUCGCUCAUGAAGUAAACUUCUGUCACAAACCUUUUCCUUCCUGUAAAACUCUUCUAUUUAGUUAAACAGAAAAGUUCUCUGUUGAGUUUACGUUCUUCCUGUGUCUAUUCUGGGUUCGUUGGUUCUUCUCAUGGAUGGAAGUCGACUAUAGGAAUAUACAUAUAUGUUUUCCACUAAUGACUGUCAAAGAUUCACUAUUGAAUAACAAAUAACAUGCUGAAGACUUAUGGCUGGUAAUCAGUUUACAUACCACUGGGAAGAUUACUCAGACGUGAACAACACAGCCUCAUUAUGAAAGCAGAUUAAGUUUUACAUACAUUACCUGGUCAUGUCUUUUUGUGCAUUUUACUGAACUGUAUCGGGGCGGGGGGGGGUUACAUUUUUGGAUUGUGUUACUAUUUUCAACUUUUCAUG